AAAGAGUUAGAACAGGGGCAUACAAAGGAAUGCAAUGGGAAGAAUGACAGUAAAUCUUCAAAUUCUGGGGUAUGUUUUACACUCACUGAAAAAAUGAGGUUGCACCACCUACAUUCCAGGUGCUCGAUAGUGACAUGUGACCUGGGGACCCCAGUGGACAGCACAGACUCAAUGAACCUGCUGUUCUAGAUGCUACUUUUAGGGUAAUUUGUUAUGGCAGCAAUGCAAAGGAAAUACACACCAACGCACACACAGUCCCACGUCAUGGGUGUCUUUUCCUCAUUGUUUAUUUCAACAAGGAUUUCAAAAAGUAGAAAAAUAAACAUUUUCCUGGAGGUGAGUUGGAUUUACAUACACAAAUACAUAAAUAGCGACUGG
rnacentral:lncRNA from 10 species